ensembl:lncRNA
GUUCGUUUAUGAAUCGGAAACCACUUCUGCGUGUCGGAGCACGUGCUAUAUUAUAAGGAGUAACUAUAUGUUUUAUGAAAUGUAGUGAAGUAAAAAAUAUGGAUCUUAUGGUUUGGAAUGUAGUGAAGUAAAAGUAAAGUUACUCAAAAUAAAACUACUCCAUUGAAGUACAGAUACUUGAAAAAUGUACUUAAGUACAGUAACGAAGUUACUGUACUUAAGUCAAGUCUGUUCAUGCCAGGUCAAGUCUGUUCAAUUCUGUUCAUGCCAAGUCAAGUCUGUUCAAGUCAAGUCUGUUCAUGCCAGGUCAAGUCUGUUCAAGUCAAGUCUGUUCAAGUCAAGUCUGUUCAUGCCAGGUCAAGUCUGUUCAAGUCAAGUCUGUUCAUGCCAGGUCAAGUCUGUUCAAUUCUGUUCAUGCCAAGUCAAGUCUGUUCAAGUCAAGUCUGUUCAUGCCAGGUCAAGUCUGUUCAAUUCUGUUCAUGUCAAGUCAAGUCUGUUCAAUUCUGUUCAAGUCAAGUCUGUUCAUGCCAGGUCAAGUCUGUUCAAGUCAAGUCUGUUCAUGACAAGUCAAGUCUGUUCAAUUCUGUUCAUGCCAAGUCAAGUCUGUGUUUGGAUUAUGUUUGUAUUUUGGACUACUUUUGGAAUAAAGCUGCACUUGGGUUCUUGGAUCUGUUCAUGCCAGGUCAAGUCUGUUCAAUUCUGUUCAUGCCAAGUCAAGUCUGUUCAAGUCAAGUCUGUUCAUGCCAGGUCAAGUCUGUUCAAUUCUGUUCAUGUCAAGUCAAGUCUGUUCAAUUCUGUUCAAGUCAAGUCUGUUCAUGCCAGGUCAAGUCUGUUCAAGUCAAGUCUGUUCAUGACAAGUCAAGUCUGUUCAAUUCUGUUCAUGCCAAGUCAAGUCUGUGUUUGGAUUAUGUUUGUAUUUUGAACUACUUUUGGAAUAAAGCUGCACUUGGGUUCUUAGACUCGCCUUCAGUGGACUGCCUGUUACAGUAAGGGAGAAUAUUUUACAAUAUAUGGUGCAUAUUGCACAAAUAUGUGACUUUAUA